rnacentral:rRNA from 1 species
CCUACGGGUGGCAGCAGUGAGGAAUAUUGGGCAAUGGGGGCAACCCUGACCCAGCCAUGCCGCGUGAGUGAAGAAGGUCUUAGGAUUGUAAAGCUCUUUCGGACGGGACGAUGAUGACGGUAGCGUCUCAAGUAGCACAGUGCAACUUGGGGCAAGCAGCCGCGGUAAUACGAAGGGGGCCAGGGUUGUCCGGAAUUACUGGGCUUUAAGGGAGUGUAGACGGGUUGUUAAGAUAGCUGUGAAAUUCCGGGGCUCAACCGCGGAAUUGCAAUUGCGACUAGUUAUCUAGAGUAGUGGAGAGGUUAGCGGAAUUCCCGGUGUAGAGGUGAAAUUCGUAGAUAUUGGGUAGAACACCGGUGGCGAAGGCGGCUUUCUGGCCAUUUACUGACGUUGAGGCUCGAAAGUGUGGGGAUCAAACAGGAUUAGAUACCCUAGUAGUC